CGGGUGAGUAACACGUAUCCAACCUGCCGUCUACUCUUGGACAGCCUUCUGAAAGGAAGAUUAAUACAAGAUGGCAUCAUGAGUCCGCAUGUUCACAUGAUUAAAGGUAUUCCGGUAGACGAUGGGGAUGCGUUCCAUUAGAUAGUAGGCGGGGUAACGGCUCACCAAGCCUUCGAUGGAUAGGGGUUCUGAGAGGAAGGUCCCCCACAUUGGAACUGAGACACGGUCCAA
rnacentral:rRNA from 1 species